AGCAAAAGGGUCUGCCUCCAAACCUCGCUCGGUCUCUUCAUCCAUCGGCAAAAGGGUCUGCCUCCAAACCAAACAAAGUAGGUGAUCCUCUAGAGAAGGCUGCACUUAAGGGAAUUGAUUGGAGUUAUAAGUCAGAUGAAAA